ACGAGAGAGAGACACACGAAAAAUGUUAAAGUCAGAAAUGAGCUCAAAUAAUGAUCGAACAAGUAUUCUUGAUACAACAAGAUAUUCUCAGACAAGAGGGUUUACCAGAAAAUUGUGUGUGGCCCAAAUGAGAUGAUGAUGAUUCUAAACCAGAGUUUUCUAUGGUUUUAUUUCAGGAACUAACAAGAAGAACCAGGCAGAGAAGACUUCUCACACUCUUGAAGUGACUCUGGGCUGGGCGGUGUUUCUUAGGCCAACUUGUCAACAGUUUCUAAUGUCCUUUUGAUAAUCGGGUUUUGGAGGAGCUGGACGAAAAUGUCCAAAGCAGCAGCCAUUGAUAAAUUAUCAUGUGAGGAUGCCGCUGGCAGGUGCAGCAAAUGAUGUUGACGGUGCAUAAAAACAGAGGGAAAAAAAACUAAGCCACUUGUUUAACCAACCCGACUCAACCCAACCGCCCACAGAACAGAUUUUUAAUCUAUUUUAAAUGUGUAACGAGUUAAAAAAAAAUAAGGGGAGAUCCCCCAUAAUGGUAAUGG